AAAGCCGACAUAUUGUAACCGCUUCAGUGUACUUAGUCAUUACCAUUUGAUGAACAACGCAGGCUGACGUUUGAUUAUCUCCUCUCGUAGAAUUUUCUAGAAACCUAAUCUUUUUUACAGCAAGUCUACAGACGCAAAAGAUAUGCCAUUACUAAACAGGUCUAGAUCUGAACCAACCACCACCGAAAACUCGCCAGCUUGGAUUUUGUCAAACAUGCGGCAAUGGAUGAGUCCCGUGAGAGAGGUACUGAGGCCUGUUUCAUUGGUGUUCCGGAGCAUUGAGGCAGUCAACCAGAUUUAUACAGCCUCAGUGACGGAGCACAUUAUUGAUGGGAAGCUUCUCUAAGCCAUCAGUCAGAUGCGUCACAAAACCUCUCAAAGAGUAUUAAACUGGAAGGAUACUGAUAUCUUGCGAGCAGCUGGAGCAUUUGUUUGAAAGAUCAUUAUUUCUUUCUCGGAUCCAGCGAAGGAUUUCUACAUGCUGCCAUUUGACUUCAACAUCUCCCAGCCAUUAAAAAGUACUAGAAACACUCAGUGCACAAACAAACUCAGACCAUCACGUAUCCCACCCAACCAAAGUUCAGAUCAACAUCCAACAAAAUCUGACGAUACUGAUACAUUGCUCCAACAGCAUUUGUAACAAAUCACAGUUCACAACAUACAAGCACAAUAUGACUCAAUAUAUGUGUGUCCCCUUAUCAUAGGUUAUGCUAUGAAUUCCUCUAAGAUCCCAGGCUGUAUAAAACAUCCUCAAUCAAGCCCUGUUUUACUAACCAGUUUAUCAGCAAAAAUAUAAUCCAGCUGAUUUCAGUACAAUCACUUUACACAGAACUCUAGUGCUUAGUUUUGAUAUAGAUAUUUGAUAUUGAAUUUCUAAGAUAUCUGUUAAUUGUUAGUAUUUUGGAUAGUCUGCGCGGUUUUCUUUAUAUAAGAUUGCUAUUACUUGCUAUUA